UACGUAGGGCGCAAGCGUUAUCCGGAAUUAUUGGGCGUAAAGAGCUCGUAGGCGGUUUGUUGCGUCUGCCGUGAAAUCCCGGGGCUCAACUCCGGAUCUGCGGUGGGUACGGGCAGACUAGAGUGAUGUAGGGGAGGCUGGAAUUCCUGGUGUAGCGGUGAAAUGCGCAGAUAUCAGGAGGAACACCGAUGGCGAAGGCAGGUCGCUGGACAUUAACUGACGCUGAGGCGCGAAAGCAUGGGGAGCGAAAAGG
rnacentral:rRNA from 1 species